rnacentral:rRNA from 1 species
UACAGAGGUCCCAAGCGUUGUUCGGAAUUACUGGGCGUAAAGCGCACGUAGGCGGCUUUGUAAGUUAGAGGUGAAAGCCCGGGGCUCAACCCCGGAAUUGCCUUUAAGACUGCAUCGCUUGAACGUCGGAGAGGUGAGUGGAAUUCCGAGUGUAGAGGUGAAAUUCGUAGAUAUUCGGAGGAACACCAGUGGCGAAGGCGGCUCACUGGUCCGGUACUGACGCUGAGGUGCGAAAGCGUGGGGAGCAAACAGG